rnacentral:tRNA from 1 species
GGAGUAUUAAGACAAAGGGAAAGCUUCUAACUUUUUUUUAAGCGGUUAAAAUCCGUUUAUACUCCU